UACGGGGGGGGUAAGCGUUGUUCGGAAUUACUGGGCGUAAAGGGCUCGUAGGCGGCCAACUAAGUCAUACGUGAAAUCCCUCAGCUUAACUGGGGAACUGCGUGUGAUACUGGAUGGCUUGGAUUUGGGAGAGGGAUUCGGAAUUCCAGGUGUAGCGGUGAAAUGCGUAGAUAUCUGGAGGAACACCGGUGGCGAAGGCGGCAUCCUGGACCAAUAUUGACGCUGAGGAGCGAAAGCCAGGGGAGCAAACGGG
rnacentral:rRNA from 1 species